AAGUAAUCGUAUCCCAUGUAGCAUCAUAUAUCGGGUAUAUAUUUAUACAAUAUUGGCAGAGCAUUUUUAUGUUGGGUUAAUAUUGUCAAUUAUUAGCCAAUAUUACUCCAAUAUAGCUUUGUUGACCAAUAUUGAUGUAUCUAUGCAAAUACAAUAUUGGCAAAAUAUUUUUAAUUUCCAGUAUUGCUUGAAGAUUAACAUGCAAUAUUGUAYAGCAAUACUAUGCCAAUUAAACGUUUUCGAUAUAAUUAAUAAUCAUACAAUAUUGUCUUAGUAGGUAAUAAUUAUUAAUAAUAUCUUACGGCCUGGCCUGAUUUAUAAUCAAAGUUAAAGUGUUUAUUUCUUAAAGUGUUAGAGAAAAAUAGAAACAAAAAACCGGUUGCAAAUCUAAUUGCGUACUAUAUUGAAAACUGCUUGUCGGAUAAACACGCGAACACGCCUGCGGAACGGGUCAACUUUAGCAAUCGAACUCAGCUACUAUUAUUUGAGGUUAGCGUUGUGUACUUAUUUGUACCUACCUAAAUAGUAAAUAGUUACAUACUUCGGUGUUUUGUGCAAUAAUCUGUAACUCAACAUGUCAUCAAGAUCGAAAAAAUCGAUGUAUAUAAAAAGGCAACUUGAGAAGGAAGUUAAUACUUUAACUACAGCUAUUGCUAAAAAGCAUAAACCCAAUUUUCGCAAUUGUGAAAACACUAAUCCUGAAAGCUUUGGGUUAGAAUUUCAGAGUGAUGAAGCUUCUAAUGAUGCCUUAUAUGUUAACCGACCUAGAUAUCAGGAAAUAUAUCGAAUUUUCCCUGGCUAGUGCUGGAGAUGGAGGGUGGAAGAAAGUCCAGGCCGGAUCCGAUAUCAGAACAAAAAUGAUGCGUGUGAGAAAAAAUGUUUGUUA